CCUACGGGCGGCAGCAGUGAGGAAUAUUGGUCACUGGGCGCGAGCCUGAACCAGCCAAGUCGCGUGAGGGAAGACGGUCCUAUGGAUUGUAAACCUCUUUUGUCGGGGAGCAAAAGACGCCACGCGUGGCGUUCCGAGAGUACCCGAAGAAAAAGCAUCGGCUAACUCCGUGCCAGUAGCCGCGGUAAGACGGAGGAUGCGAGCGUUAUCCGGAUUUAUUGGGUUUAACGGGUGCGCAGGCGGAAGAUCAAGUCAGCGGUAAAAAUUCAGGGCUCAACCCUGUCGAGCCGUCGGAACUGGCAGCCUGGAGUGGGCGAGAAGUAUGCGGAAUGCGUGGUGUAGCGGUGAAAUGCAUAGAUAUCACGCAGAACGCCGAUUGCGAAGGCAGCAUACCGGCGCCCGACUGACGCUGAGGCACGAAAGCGUGGGGAUCGAACAGGAUUAGAUACCCUAGUAGUC
rnacentral:rRNA from 1 species